GAUUGAUAAAGGCAAAUCCAUCGAAAGGUGGAGACGCAAAACUAUAGGGGUUAAGGCGGCAUGUUCGCUAUACCAGCCAGUUACCGAU
rnacentral:ncRNA from 1 species